AAUAUUUAAAUAUUUAUUGUUUUUUUUUUUGUUUUAUUUUUAAAAUUAAAAUAUUAAUUUUUAUUAUUUUUUGAAAAAAUUUUUUUAAUUAUAGUUUAUUAGUACUGGGAGGGAAUAUUAGUUAAUUUUUUAAUAAAAUAAUUAUUUUUUUGUACCUUGGGUAUCAGGGUUGAUUAAAUUAUAAGUUAAAAUUAAUUUUUCUCGAAGUUAAAAGAGCUAUUCUUGUAUUGUUUUUAUUGUAACAUAAAUAUAUUAAAUAUAUGAAUUGUAAUGAAACGUUAUUCGUUUUUAAAUAUAUCUAGUUUUCUAAGAAAUGAAUUUAAUUCAAUUAUUAAAAUUUAAUUUUUCUUUUAUUUGAUUUGUUUUUUUAAUAGUAAGUAUUUGAAGGGAUUAGCUUUUAAAUAAAAUUUUAAAAAUAUAUAAGUUUAGGGCUAUUUAAAUAGGAUUAGAAGUUUAAAUUUUUAAAAGGAUGUUAUAUUUAUUAUAGUUGUAUUGUAAUUUAUAUUGAUUUUAAGUUUUUUAUUAGAAUAAUAAUUUAAAUUUUAAAUUUUACUGAAAUAAUGAUUAAAUUAGUAUAAUAUUUUGUUUACUUAAUAAUUUUUUAGGUUAGGAAAAGGAACUCGGCAAAAGAUUCUUUACCUGUUUAUUAAAAACAUGUCCUUUUGAUUUUAAUUUAAGGUCUGACCUGCCCUCUGAUUAUUUGAAUGGCCGCGGUACUUUGACCGUGCAAAGGUAGCAUAAUAAUUAGUUUUUUAAUUGAAAGCUGGUAUGAAUGGUUGGAUAAAGGAAUAACUGUCUCUUUCUAAAUUUUUUAGAAUUUUAUUUUUAAGUUAGAAAGCUUAAAUGUUUUUAAAAGACGAGAAGACCCUAUAGAGUUUUAUAUAUUAUAAAUAUUAAUUUUUUUGGAAAUUAUUAACUUUAUUAUUAUACUGUAUUUUGUUGGGGCGAUUGAAAAUUAAAUUAAAACUUUUUCUUUAUUAUAACAUUAAUUUAUGAUUUUUUGAUCCAUUGUUAGUGAUAUAAGAUAAAAUACCCUAGGGAUAACAGCGUAAUCUUUUUUGAGAGUUCUUAUCGAAAGAGGGGUUGCGACCUCGAUGUUGGAUUAAAAUUAAUUUUUGGUGUAGAAGCUAAAAAUAUUAGGUCUGUUCGACCUUUAAAAUUUUACAUGAUCUGAGUUUAAACCGGCGUGAGCCAGGUUGGUUUCUAUCUUUAAUAUGAUAAAUAUCUUAGUACGAGAGGACCAGAUAUUUAAUAUUUUAUUUUUUUUUGACUAUUA
rnacentral:rRNA from 1 species